AAUCUUUCAAUGGCUAAAAGCCCAUUGCACAAACACUCACAAACUACUUACAACAAACUUUAAAGUAAGGCAACACACCUAUAAGUACACCCAAGUAACUAAAACCACUUCUUUGUCACCGCAAGGGCCUACCUACUUAUAUACAAGAUUGGAUAAACCUCCCUACCUUUUGCAUCAUGUAGAUGCAACAAAACCCAGAUUAACACUGUUUCCCGAAAAAUGGGGAGCUAUUAUCAGCAAGCUAAACUUAGUGUGUCACUACUAAAAGAUAGCUAAUAAUAGAGGCAAAAUACUUUACGAACCAUUUGAUAGCUGGCUGUUCCUGAAAGACAUAUAAGUGUCCCCCACCAGAGAGAUUAAAGAAACCGCCUGGUGGAGAAAACCUAGUGGGGACAAGCCCGCCAGCUACUCCGAAAUAUACCCAACAAAGCCUUCACAAACAGGCUUGAAAACAGCCUACAAAAUCCGUUAUAGGAAACGAACUUCAAUCACCAAAAUUUAAUACCGAUUUCUACCUAACAAGGAACCUUAAAGUGCAACUAAGCACUUUAAUGAACCGGCACCUAUUAGUAUCCACGAUUAUGCCAUCCAGGAGCACCCUUAUAGAAAACACCCUCCUCAAACUUUAGCAUUAAAAGCAACACCGUCGGUAAUGAACUCGGCAAAACCCUUCUCCGCCUGUUUACCAAAAACAUCGUCCCUUGAGUCUCAACCACAAGGGAUACUGCCUGCCCUAUGAUUUAACUAUUAAAUGGCCGCGUUAGCGUGAGCGUGCUAAGGUAGCGUAAUAAACAGCUCCCUAAUUAGGAGCCAGUGAAAGGCAAAACGGAGAAGAGCUGUAUCACCCACGAAAAGAAAAUUUUUCCUCUAAGUGAAAAGACUUAGAUAUAAGAAAAAGACAAAAAGACCCCGCGGAACUCCCCUCUACUUUAGCCUAAAUAAUCCCAACACUAAAAGAAUGAGGUCGGUUGGGGCAACCUUGGAGUAAAAAAAACCUCCAAAGCAACUUCUAAAAGCAAUACAUAACUUGUUAUGAAACAUACUGCAGUUACCCCGGGGAUAACAGCGUAAUCCAGCUUAAGAGUACACAUUGAAAGCUGGGUUUGCGACCUCGAUGUUGGCUUAGGGAAAGCAACUUGGCGCAGCCACUAAGUUUAUUGCCAGUCUGUUCGACUGCAAACCCCCUACACGAGCUGAGUUAAGACCGGCGAGAGCUAGGUUGGAUUCUAUCUUUUCUUUACACUCACACUCUUUAUUGUACGAAAGGACCUAAAGAGGCACAUCUAACCAAAGUGCCAAUAUAGAACACACUCACAGUAUCGCAAAGUGAAGCAAUAACCUAACCGCCUUUGCAAGUUAGUACAC
rnacentral:rRNA from 1 species